GAACUGAAAGGGAUCGGACCCUUCGGGGAGCCUGAACAGGUGCUGCAUGGCUGUCGUCAGCUCGUGUCGUGAGAUGUUCGGUUAAGUCCGCUAACGAGCGCAACCCUCGCUGUGUGUUACAAGUGUCACACGGGUACUGCCGGUCUAAAACCGGAGGAAGGUGGGGAUGACGUCAAGUCAGCAUGGCCUUUAUAUCCUGGGCUACACACACGCUACAAUGGCCGGUACAGUAGGUAGCGAAGCCGCGAGGUGGAGCCAAUCCACAAAGCCGGUCUCAGUUCAGAUUGCAGGCUGCAACCCGCCUGCAUGAAGAUGGAGUUGCUAGUAACCGCAGGUCAGCUAUACUGCGGUGAAUACGUUCCCGGGGCUU
rnacentral:rRNA from 1 species